UGCUAUUGGGAUUCGACUAAGCCAUGCGAGUCGUGAGGGUUCGGCCCUCGGCGAACGGCUCAGUAACACGUAGAUAAUUUGCCCUUAGGUGGAGGAUACCCUCGGGAAACUGAGAAUAAUACUCCAUAGAUCUAGACUGCUGGAAUGCUUUUAGAUUGAAAGAUUUAUCGCCUAAGGAUAAGUCUGCGGACUAUCAGGUUGUAGUUAGGGUAACUACCUGACUAGCCUACGACGGAUACGGGUAGUGAGAGCUUUAGCCCGGAGAUGAUAUCUGAGACACGAUAUCAGGCCCUACGGGGCGCAGCAGGCGCGAAAACUUCGCACUGUGCGAAAGCACGACGAGGGAAUCCCAAGUGCUGGCUCGUAAGAGUCAGCUGUUUCUCUGUCUAAAAAAUAGAGAGAGUAAGGGCUGGGUAAGACGGGUGCCAGCCGCCGCGGUAAUACCUGCAGCUCAAGUGGUGGCCGCUAUUAUUGGGCCUAAAACGUCCGUAGCCGGUUCUAUAAA
rnacentral:rRNA from 1 species